rnacentral:lncRNA from 1 species
AUGGAGCUUCUUCUCCAGCAGGCUCUUCUCCAGGAAGCGGAGCAGCUCCCGCAGGCGAGCGUCCAGCUGCCCGGCCCUCCAGUCGGCCGGCCGGCGGCGGAGCAGGAGGUGCAGCAGGGCCGUCUUCAGGUGGUAGUUGCCGAGCCCGCUGCGGCCGGUCAGGCGGCUCUGCUUGGAGAGCAGGAAGGAGGCGAUCUGCAGGCAGCUGAGGUGGCAGGCGCCCUCCGGCAGGGCCUUCGAGGUCACCCUGAGGAAGUGCCGCUCGUACACAGCGAAGGACAGGAGCCAGUCGCUGCUGGACGCCGGGGCCUCCCCCGAGGGCUCCCUGGGAAGGUGGGAGACAAAGUACAGGUCCGAGUCGUCACACUGGAUCACCGGAAUCAGGUGGAAGGGCAUAAACUUCCCCGAGCGGAACUUGAUCUUGAGGGAGCCGGGCCGGUCCAGCUGACCGAAGGCCAGGUCGAACUCGUACUUGUGGGCGAUGCGGUGCCAGGCCCGGGUCAGGGCCAUCUGGAACCACUUCAUGACCCGCGCGGUGUCCAGGUACGGGGAGUCUCCGGCGCACAGCAGGCUCUCCAGCUCGCCGCCGGGCCGCGCCACGCUGCUCCUGCCGUGGAGGAGACACAGCAUGUCGUCCCCGAGCGUGGUCUUGCCGCAGACGCAGCCCAGCGCACCCUCAUCGGCCCUGACCACCCUGAUCUGGCCGUAGCCCUGGCGGCCCAAGGGCACCGAGCGGCGGGAGCAGCAGAGCUCCGGGCGGAAGUGGUAGGGCUCGGGGGGCACGAAGGGCACAAAGAGCUCGCACAGCAGCGGCCUGUCCACCUGCCAGUUCUCGUACAUGCUGUCCACGCCGAUGAAGUCCUCCAGCUCCAUGUCCGUGUCCCGGUUGCAGAGGCUCCUCAGGGCUUCCAGCAAGUCAUCCACGAAGCCUUCCACGAACUCCCGGGUGCGGGCCGCGUCGGCCGUGGCGCCCCGGAUGCAAUGCUCAUAAAAGUGGUGGAGGGUGGCCUUGUUGGGCAGGGUGAGGCCCCGGAGCGGGGCGCCGUCCAGGCCGGGCAGCUCGUCCUCGUCCCCGCCCAGGCACUCCGGGGAAGGCCCGUCCUGGUGGUCCUGCCGCCACACCUCGAUCACCAGGAAGAGGAUCAUGCAGAGGGUGCUCCACAGGUCCCAGGCUGUGCGAUUCUCAUUCUGCUGCUGCCCUUCCUCUGCCACGUGCUCCAGGGCCUCCUUCUCAGCUGCCAGCCGGGCCACCUCCUCCUCCAGCCUGGAGGAGAAAUGUUAGAUAUGAUGACUGGAGCAGUUUCUACGCUGUUGUUUGGGGCCCCAAAUACAGUUUUUAGAUUUCAUGGAUACUAA